GAUGAACGCUGGCGGCGUGCCUAAUACAUGCAAGUCGAGCGAACAGACGAGGAGCUUGCUCCUCUGACGUUAGCGGCGGACGGGUGAGUAACACGUGGAUAACCUACCUAUAAGACUGGGAUAACUUCGGGAAACCGGAGCUAAUACCGGAUAAUAUAUUGAACCGCAUGGUUCAAUAGUGGAAGACGGUUUUGCUGUCACUUAUAGAUGGAUCCGCGCCGCAUUAGCUAGUUGGUAAGGUAACGGCUUACCAAGGCGACGAUGCGUAGCCGACCUGAGAGGGUGAUCGGCCACACUGGAACUGAGACACGGUCCAGACUCCUACGGGAGGCAGCAGUAGGGAAUCUUGCGCAAUGGGCGAAAGCCUGACGGAGCAACGCCGCGUGAGUGAUGAAGGUCUUCGGAUCGUAAAACUCUGUUAUUAGGGAAGAACAAAUGUGUAAGUAACUAUGCACGUCUUGACGGUACCUAAUCAGAAAGCCACGGCUAACUACGUG
rnacentral:rRNA from 1 species